rnacentral:rRNA from 1 species
UAUUGGACAAUGGGCGAAAGCCUGAUCCAGCCAUGCCGCGUGUGUGAAGAAGGUCUUCGGAUUGUAAAGCACUUUAGGUGGGGAGGAAGGGUUGUAGAUUAAUAGUCUGCAAUUUUGACGUUACCGACAGCAUAAGCACCGGCUAACUCUGUGCCAGCAGCCGCGGUAAUACGAAGGGUGCAAGCGUUAAUCGGAAUUACUGGGCGUAAAACGCGCGUAGGUGGUUCGUUAAGUUGGAUGUGAAAGCCCCAGGCUCAACCUGGGAACUGCAUCCAAAACUGGCGAGCUAGAGGACGGUAGAGGGUGGUGGAAUUUCCUGUGUAGCGGUGAAAUGCGUAGAUAUAGGAAGGAACACCAGUGGCGAAGGCGACCACCUGGACUGAUACUGACACUGAGGUGCGAAAGCGUGGGGAGCAAACAGG